rnacentral:rRNA from 1 species
AUGCUUACCGACGCCAACUAUGGCGUGUGGGCGGUGAAGAUGAAGAUCAUUCUCCGAACCCUUCGAGUGUGGGAGGCCAUCACGGACGACGACGUCGACCAGGAGUGCGACGAAGGUGCCAUGGCUGCCAUAGCCCAGUCUGUGCCGGAUUCCGUGCUGAUAACAUUGGCGGAGUUCAAGACAGCAAGAGAGGCGUGGAACGCACUCAAAGAGAUGAGGAUUGGAGAAGAUCGCGUCACGAAGGCUCGGGCGCAAGUGCUGAAGCGCCAAUUUCACAAGUUGCGGAUGGAGGAAACUGACUUGGUGAACAACUAUGCCAUGCGUCUGACUACUUUGGUGGGAGAGUUCCGCGCGCUUGGUGCAAAGCUCGAGGAGGCCGAGAUUGUGGAGAAGUUUUUCAGUUCGGUGACUGAUAAAUUCACGUACAUCAUCGGGACGCUCGAGCAGCUUUACGACAUCGAUGACAUGACCAUAACGGAGGCGAUCGGACGCUUGCGGACAUGGGAAGAGAAUGCUUGUGGUUGUCGAAAAGGCAAUGGAGGAGGUAGUGACCAACUUAUGUACUCACGCGCAGAUAGGGAGUCCCCAAGUAGCAAAGGAAGGCGCAACAUUGGCGAAGGCUCAAGCAACGCGAAGCGCGGCGGACAAACCGAAGAAGGCAAAGGAAAAGGCAAGCCACAAGGUCGUGGUAAGGCAAAACCGGUCUAA